UAACGAUUAUACAGCGAAACUGCGAAUGGCUCAUUAUAUAAGUUAUCGUUUAUUUGAUAGUACCUUACUACUUGGAUAACCGUGGUAAUUCUAGAGCUAAUACAUGCUAAAAAUCCCGACUUCGGAAGGGAUGUAUUUAUUAGAUUAAAAACCAAUGCCCUCUGGGCUCUUUGGUGAUUCAUGAUAACUUCUCGAAUCGCACGGCCUUGCGCCGGCGAUGGUUCAUUCAAAUUUCUUCCCUAUCAACUUUCGAUGUUUGGGUAUUGGCCAAACAUGGUUGCAACGGGUAACGGAGGGUUAGGGCUCGACCCCGGAGAAGGAGCCUGAGAAACGGCUACUACAUCCAAGGAAGGCAGCAGGCGCGCAAAUUACCCAAUCCCGACACGGGGAGGUAGUGACAAUAAAUACUGAUACAGGGCUCUUUUGGGUCUUGUAAUUGGAAUGAGUACAAUUUAAAUCCCUUAACGAGGAACAAUUGGAGGGCAAGUCUGGUGCCAGCAGCCGCGGUAAUUCCAGCUCCAAUAGCGUAUAUUAAAGUUGUUGUGGUUAAAAAGCUCGUAGUUGAACCUUGGGCCUGGCUGGCCGGUCCGCCUCACCGCGUGUACUGGUCCGGCCGGGCCUUUCCCUCUGUGGAACCUCAUGCCCUUCACUGGGUGUGACGGGGAAACAGGACUUUUACUUUGAAAAAAUUAGAGUGCUCCAGGCAGGCCUAUGCUCGAAUACAUUAGCAUGGAAUAAUGAAAUAGGACGUGUGGUUCUAUUUUGUUGGUUUCUAGGACCGCCGUAAUGAUUAAUAGGGACAGUCGGGGGCAUCAGUAUUCAAUUGUCAGAGGUGAAAUUCUUGGAUUUAUUGAAGACUAACUACUGCGAAAGCAUUUGCCAAGGAUGUUUUCAUUAAUCAGGAACGAAAGUUAGGGGAUCGAAGACGAUCAGAUACCGUCGUAGUCUUAACCAUAAACUAUGCCGACUAGGGAUCGGACGAUGUUAUUUUUUGACGCGUUCGGCACCUUACGAGAAAUCAAAGUGCUUGGGCUCC
rnacentral:rRNA from 1 species